rnacentral:misc_RNA from 1 species
GCUACUGCCAGUUUCCAAUAGGUAACGAACCAUUGCAUCCACAUCAUCGCCAAAUAUGCUGUACGCCUCGAUCACUCGCCGAUAGCGGAAUCCCAUUGACAGAACCAUCUGCACACUACUGCUCAGAACAGUGUCCUGCAAACUCUGUUCUCUCACCUUGGUCUCACUGCCUGACGAUCUAGCUCCAGAUGAUGAUGGUUCAGCACCAGACGUAGAAGAUUCUUUGUAGCCAAGUUGCUGCUUCAAUUUGUCACUGGCAAGAUACUCUGCUCGAGAGGCCUCCAUCACCAUACGUUCAAUCUCCUUCUCAGUAAGCUCAAG